rnacentral:rRNA from 1 species
UACGAAGGGGGGCUAGCGUUGCUCGGAAUUACUGGGCGUAAAGCGCACGUAGGCGGAUUGUUAAGUCGGGGGUGAAAUCCUGGAGCUCAACUCCAGAACUGCCUUCGAUACUGGCGAUCUCGAGUUCGGGGAGAGGUGAGUGGAACUGCGAGUGUAGAGGUGAAAUUCGUAGAUAUUCGCAAGAACACCAGUGGCGAAGGCGGCUCACUGGCCCGAUACUGACGCUGAGGUGACGGAAAGCGUGGGGAGCAAACAGG